rnacentral:sRNA from 1 species
GCUGGGUGCUGUGGCCCAUGCCUGUAAUCCCAGUGACCUGGGAGGCCGAGGCAGGAGGAUGGUGAGUUCAAAGCCAGCCUCAG